rnacentral:rRNA from 1 species
CCCUUAGAUGUUCUGGGCUGCACACGCGCUACACUGGCAGGUUCAGCGAGCUUCUUGCCCUGAUCUGAGAAGAAUGGGAAACCUUUUCAACACCUGCCGUGCUUGGGAUAGAUGUUUGCAAUUAUUCAUCUUCAACAAGGAUUGCCUUGUAGGCGUGCCUCAUCAGGGCACAUCGAAUACGACCCUGUAUUCUGUACACACCGCCCGUCGCUCCUACCGAUUGAAUGAUUUAGUGAGGACUUCGGACUGGGACCGAUGCGGCUUUCGGGCUGCGUCGGUAUUCUGGAAAGAUGUCCAAACUGUAUCAUUUAGAGGAAGUAAAAGUCGUAACA